CCGAUGCACUUCCCCGCUGCUGAGCGUCGGACCCGGCGUCUGUCCUUCUGUCCGUCUGUCUAUCUGUCCACAGCUGGUAGUUGAGGGACGAGGAGACAAACUGACUGAGCGAACAGCGCCAACAAGCGGGUGUUUGUAAUUCAAACAGUCUGUUGGACAAAGGUCCUGGAACGGAACUCAAACAGUGGCGUGCUAACAGUUAGCGUUAGAUGUGGUCAGCUAGCUGAGAGAUGAAGUCAGCUAGCAGAGAGAUGAAGUUAGCUAGCUAUAGUUCUGCCAGUAGUUCUGUGUAGAUCCAUUUAUUAAGUACUUACUUCACAUUGGCAGUGACCGUGUUUCUGUAUCAUCGUUUAACGCGACACCACUAACCUAGCUAGCGAUAACUUCAGCUGAAGGUAGCAUCACAGUGUCCCAUUACUUGGUGAUUUGCAGCCCUUUUUAGAAUAAAUAAUUGUUUGAACAAAUCCGUGCAUAGUGUUAAUUGUAGUUUACCUGGCUUAACUAACUAUCUGUCAACUGACAGGAAAAUAAAUGCAUUAACCCAAAUAUCAUCUACAAGAUAACUAGUUAGUAAUCGUCCCAGCCCAGUGCACGUGAUGUAAAUCUUACUGCUGAUCACAAAUGACAUUACCUUCAGUUAGUCUACGUACAGAUUGUAUUUCACCCCAGCCUAUAGUUUAUCCAUAGUUAAUGAUGGGCCCUAAAAAGAGACCAGUUCCCUUAAACCUUGCUCCUAAUGGUAGUGGAUUAUCCUCCUCCACCAACACAGAUGUUGCGUCAGAAGGCACAGGAGGAGCUGGAUUUGGAUGAACAGCAGAAGAAAAGGUUAGAAGCUUUCCUCACCCAGAAUGCCAAGGUAGGCGAGCUGAAAGAUGAUGACUAUCUGUGAGCUGAGUGAAGGCGAUGGAGGUGUAGUCAGCAUGUAGUGCCACAAACUAUCAGGAAUAUUCAUGGCCAGAAAGCUCAUUCAUCUGGAAAUGAAACCUGCCAUCAGGAACCAGAUCAUCUGAGAGCUUCAGGUGUUGCACAAGUUCAACUCUCACUACAUUGUGGGUUUCUAUGGAGCCUUCCACAGCAAUGGAGAGAUCUGCAUAGAGCUCACGUUGUCAUGGAUGGUGGAUCUAUGGACCAGGUGCUGAAAGAAGCACAGCUGAUCCCAGAAGAGAUUCUGGGCAAAGUCAGCAUUGCUGUGAGAGACUUCGGGGAACCCAUUUUUCUGUGCAGUCCAAUGUGUAAAGCAUGGGCUUGUCCCUCGUGGAGCUGUCGAUCCGUUCGCUACCCAAUCCCUCCUCCUGAUACUAAAGAACUGGAGGCUAUAUUUGGACGACCCAUCAUGGACGGUAGUGAGGGAGAGAGACACAGCACUUCUCCGAAACCAGGGCCACCAGGUCAUUGUGCAGUCAUGUCUAUCUUUGAACUCCUGGUCCACAUAGUAAAUGAGCCUCCCCUCUAAACUAUCACAUGAUGUGUUUACUUCUGAUUUCCAGGACUUUGCAACAAAGUGCACCACAUGUUUAUCAAGCUGUCUGAGGCGGAGGAGGAAGACUUCGCUGGCUGGCUUUGUAAAACUAUGGGGGUGAACCAACCAAGCACUCCCACGUGCACUGCAGACUGAACACACAAUCUACUGGUCCUCACACACUAUUUAAAAACACGGAGAAGCUGCUGCCUUAAACUGUACAUACACAUACAUAUCUUGUGUGCCAUGUCCUCCUUCAGGUAAAGAGAAAGAUGCUCUAACUACAAUUUGCACCUUUUGUGUUAUUAGUUGCAUAAUAAUUCUUCUGAAUGUUUCAUGACAACAUGAAGCUCAGUCAUUUGUAAUUUGGGUUAUGUUUGAUUGGGGUUUUAAGAACAUUCUAACAUGACAUUUACAUUUUUCUCAAAACCCUGCAGUCAUACAUAUAUCAAACAUACUAUAUCAAAACUGGAGAAUUUAUCUCUUAUGAUAAUAAAAUAAACAAAUACAAUAGCUCUGCAUAAUUUUCAAACAUGUCUCUUCUUCAGUGUUGGUUUUUCUCAUCUUGUGUCUCCUAAUAGUUCUGAGUCUUCCAGUGUGAGUGUGUCAGCAACAUGUCAGGUUGUGUGUGUAUGUUAGCCAGAGAUGAGUGAGUCCAGGACAUUUUUAAAUGCAUUUGUUAAUGUGAUUGAUUUCAUCAGCCUAGUGUUUAAAACACGACACAACUCCCCAAAAAAGAUGUAUGCUCUCUCUGUAUGUUGGGGUUGUUACUGAAAAUGGCGUCCUCCGCUUGUUCUGGUAUCAAUGGCUUCACAUAAGUGAUGCUGAGGAAGAGGCUGCCUUUGUAACGACCAGAGAUUCAGACCUUGAAAAGAGGCUACUGUUACAAGACUGAUUUGUCAAUCUCUUUAGCAAGCUGUGUUGUGAUUCAUUGCAGUCUCAGCUGACUAAUUUUUUUUUUGCCAUUUGAGUGCCUCCUGUGUUGUCAGGAUUUGGGAAUUUCGCUCCCUUAGAUUUAUUCAUUUUGUGUAUGUCUUCUUUUUAAAUACAAUAGAUAUUUAAUGGUAAAAUCGUCGACCAUGUCUU